rnacentral:rRNA from 1 species
GAUGAACGCUGGCGGCGUGCUUAACACAUGCAAGUCGAACGAAGCAUUUAAGACAGAUUCCUUCGGUUUGAAGUCUUUUAUGACUGAGUGGCGGACGGGUGAGUAACGCGUGGGUAACCUGCCUCAUACAGGGGGAUAGCAGCUGGAAACGGCUGGUAAUACCGCAUAAGCGCACAGUACCACAUGGUACAGUGUGAAAAACUCCGGGGGUAUGAGAUGGACCCGCGUCUGAUUAGCUUGUUGGCGGGGUAACGGCCCACCAAGGCGACGAUCAGUAGCCGACCUGAGAGGGUGACCGGCCACAUUGGGACUGAGACACGGCCCAGACUCCUACGGGAGGCAGCAGUGGGGAAUAUGGCACAAUGGAGGAAACUCUGAUGCAGCGACGCCGCGUGAGUGAAGAAGUAGUUCGCUAUGUAAAGCCCUAUCAGCAGGGAAGAUAGGGACGGUACCUGACUAAGAAGCUCCGGCUAAAUACGU